rnacentral:rRNA from 1 species
UAUUUANGGGAAACUCGGCAUGGUUUAGGCGUGCAAACCGAGCGAGAAGUCUACUUCGGUAGGCGGACAGCGGCGAAAGGGACAGUAAUGUGUAGGCACCUACCCUUGGGUCCGGGAUAGCUGCGGGAAACCGCAGGUAAUACCGGAUAACAUCUCCGGAUCAAAGGUGUGAUUCCGCCCGAAGAGGGGCCUACAUCCUAUUAGCUUGUUGGUGAGGUAACGGCUCACCAAGGCGACGAUGGGUAACGGGUGUGAGAGCAUGACCCGUGUCAUUGGGACUGAGACACUGCCCAGACACCUACGGGUGGCUGCAGUCGAGAAUCUUCGGCAAUGGGCUAAAGCCUGACCGAGCGAUGCCGCGUGCGGGAUGAAGGCCCUCGGGUUGUAAACCGCUGUCAACGAGGAGGAAGUGCAAGGGGGUUCUCCCUUUUGUUUGACCUAUUCGAGAAGGAAGUACGGGCUAAGUUCGUGCCAGCAGCCGCGGUAAGACGAACCGUACAAACGUUAUUCGGAAUUAUUGAGCUUAAAGGGUGCGUAGGCUGCGCGGAAAGUUGGGUGUGAAAGCCCUCGGCUCAACCGAGGAAUUGCGCCCCAAACUACCGUGCUCGAGGGAGACAGAGGUGAGCGGAACUCAGGGUGGAGCGGUGAAAUGCGUUGAUAUCUUGANGAACACCGGUGG